GCUUCAGCUGCGGCUGAGAUAACGGAUCUCUGUCUGCUGGGGCAGUGUGGGGAGGAGCCUUCUCCCAUCCCAGGGGCUUCACGCAGCUUCCUUAACGAGGUUUCCCAGCUAUCAGAAGUGGAAACAGAAACAGAAAAUUGAUGAUCGUGACUCGGACGAAGAAGGGGCAUCUGACCGGCGAGGCCCAGAGCGAAGAGGUGGGAAGCGAGGCCGUGGCCAAGGUGCAUCCCGGCCCCACGCCCCAGGCACCCCUGCAGGCCGUGUCCGCCCGGAACUCAAGACCAAGCAGCAGAUCCUGAAGCAGCGGCGCCGGGCCCAGAAGCUGCGCUUCCUGCAGCGUGGUGGCCUCAAGCAGCUCUCUGCCCGCAACCGCCGCCGCGUCCAGGAGCUGCAGCAGGGCGCCUUCGGCCGGGGUGCCCGCUCCAAGAAGGGCAAGAUGCGGAAGAGGAUGUGAGGACCAGGACCCAGCCCCUUGGCUCCUUGAUUGGCCUUAGGGUGGGCAUCAGAAGACGUUCCCGUGCACCACUGUGUGCCUGGCCCUGUGCUGGGCACUAGGGGCACUCCCUGCAGGAGCCAUCAUCCGUGAAAAGGAGCACUGUAUGGCCACAGAAGGGCAGCAGCUGCGUCAGCCUAAGACAGAGACAUUUGAGCAGGGCCUUGAAGGGUGUGGAGGAGUUCGCCAGCAAAGCCAGGCAGGCCAAGACCUGAGUUGGCAACUCAGCUGCUGCUGCUUCCAUGUGUUCUGGGUUCAGAGGU
rnacentral:sRNA from 1 species